CAGCGGACAGCUUCCGUCAUGGAGACUUGGGUCAAUCAUUAUCAUACCAGUCAAAGAAACCACCUAUCAUGGCUCGUGGAAUUAUGGGAAAACAGCUCACUUGUGAGAUCGCCGGAGGAUAUUGCUUGCGAAAGUGCCCUAGGUCAAAAACCCGCAGGACCAACGCAAGCUGCAUUGGUAACCUCAAAUGCUGCGUGAGCACAAAACAGCGCUCAAGACAUCUGCGAUAGAGGUUACAACGAAAGGGAAUGUGAUAAUUGCAAAAUGAGCUGGGUAUCAUUGUAUGGUCUAUCACGAAUCAUAGAAUAGUAGAGAUUUCAAACACAAUAUACGCUAAUAUCUUCAUAUAAAUUUACAGAAAGAUAAUAAAAGUACUGA